rnacentral:tRNA from 1 species
CCCGAAAUGGCAGAUUAAUGCCUAGACUUUAAGCGUCUAUUAUGGGUUAAACCCUUUUGGUA